AAUAAACAAACUGGCUCUAAAAACCUAGGUUGGGCACUCGAAUGGCUCUGCCUCCAAUGGCGACAUUACUUCAUGUCUUAGUUGUUAUAAACAUGCUCCAACAAGCCACUUGGUCAGCAAAUAUAUAUGUUUCUAACAGAGCAACGAAAGAUAAGGAUUGUGGUACGAGUGAGGAAGAUCCCUGUCGUACAAUCAACGCUGCUUUGAAGAUUGAGAAAAAAGGUUUGUCUCAGAUAACCAUCAUAUCUACCGGGAGCAAAUACCAAGAUUGUCCGAUACAAGUAAACAAGCCUUUCGCUUUCAAAGGGCUCUACGGAAGUCCGGUCAUAGACUGUGGUGGCAGGGAU